rnacentral:rRNA from 1 species
UACGUAGGGUGCGAGCGUUGUCCGGAAUUAUUGGGCGUAAAGAGCUCGUAGGCGGUUUGUUGCGUCGGCCGUGAAAACCUGCAGCUUAACUGUGGGCCUGCGGUCGAUACGGGCAGACUUGAGUUCGGUAGGGGAGACUGGAAUUCCUGGUGUAGCGGUGAAAUGCGCAGAUAUCAGGAGGAACACCGAUGGCGAAGGCAGGUCUCUGGGCCACUACUGACGCUGAGAAGCGAAAGCAUGGGGAGCGAACAGG